rnacentral:misc_RNA from 1 species
AACGCACAUUGCGCCCUUUGGUAUUCCGAAGGGCAUGCCUGCUCGAGCGUCAUUUAAACCUUCAAGCAUAGCUUGGUCUUGGGUGCUUGGUUGUGCGUCAACCCACCCGCAACUUGUUGGCGGUACCGUCCGGCUUCAGGCGUAACAGUUUAAUUCUUCGUCUGCGAGAUUUCGGACUGGUGACUUGCCAGACGAUCAAAAAACCUAAGAGUUUGACCUCGGAUCAGGUAGGGAUACCCGCUGAACUUAA